rnacentral:rRNA from 1 species
GUCCACGCCGUAAACGAUGAGUGCUAGGUGUUGGGGAGACUCAGUGCCGCAGCUAACGCAAUAAGCACUCCGCCUGGGGAGUACGACCGCAAGGUUGAAACUCAAAGGAAUUGACGGGGACCCGCACAAGCAGCGGAGCAUGUGGUUUAAUUCGAAGCAACGCGAAGAACCUUACCAGGUCUUGACAUCCUCUGACAAUCCGAGAGAUCGGACUUUCCCUCGGGGACAGAGAGACAGGUGGUGCAUGGUUGUCGU